GAUGAACGCUGGCGGCGUGCCUAAUACAUGCAAGUCGAGCGAACAGAUGAGGAGCUUGCUCCUCUGACGUUAGCGGCGGACGGGUGAGUAACACGUGGAUAACCUACCUAUAAGACUGGGAUAACUUCGGGAAACCGGAGCUAAUACCGGAUAAUAUAUUGAACCGCAUGGUUCAAUAGUGAAAGACGGUUUUGCUGUCACUUAUAGCUGGAUCCGCGCCGCAUUAGCUAGUUGGUAAGGUAACGGCUUACCAAGGCAACGAUGCGUAGCCGACCUGAGAGGGUGAUCGGCCACACUGGAACUGAGACACGGUCCAGACUCCUACGGGAGGCAGCAGUAGGGAAUCUUCCGCAAAGGGCGAAAGCCUGACGGAGCCACGCCGCGUGAGUGAUGAAGGUCUUCGGAUCGUAAAACUCUGUUAUUAGGGAAGAACAAAUGUGUAAGUAACUAUGCACGUCUUGACGGUACCUAAUCAGAAAGCCACGGCUAACUACGUG
rnacentral:rRNA from 1 species